rnacentral:tRNA from 1 species
ACCAGGUUGGCCGAGUGGUUAAGGCGUCAGACUUAAGAUCUGAUCUCUGAUAUAGAGACGAGGGUUCGAACCCCUCACCUGGUA